rnacentral:rRNA from 1 species
CAUCAGACCUCUAAUCGGAAAAGACUACCCGCUGAGUUUAAGCAUAUCAUAG